rnacentral:rRNA from 1 species
UACGGAGGGUGCAAGCGUUAUCCGGAUUCACUGGGUUUAAAGGGUGCGUAGGUGGGAAUGUAAGUCAGUGGUGAAAUCUCCGUGCUUAACAUGGAAACUGCCAUUGAUACUAUGUUUCUUGAAUUUUCUGGAGGUAAGCGGAAUAUGUCAUGUAGCGGUGAAAUGCUUAGAUAUGACAUAGAACACCAAUUGCGAAGGCAGCUCGCUACACGAAUAUUGACUCUGAGGCACGAAAGCGUGGGGAUCAAACAGG